rnacentral:rRNA from 1 species
CCGUAGCCCAAGAGAUCGGGAUAACACCUGGAAACAGAUGCUAAUACCGGAUAACAACAGAUGAUGCCUAUCAACUGUUUAAAAGAUGGUUCUGCUAUCACUCUUGGAUGGACCUGCGGUGCAUUAGCUAGUUGGUAAGGUAACGGCUUACCAAGGCGAUGAUGCAUAGCCGAGUUGAGAGACUGAUCGGCCACAUUGGGACUGAUACACGGCCCAAACUCCUACGGGAGGCAGCAGCC